rnacentral:lncRNA from 1 species
CUCUGGAAUACGGAAGAAACUCUUGUGAGGAUAUUUUUGGGCACCCUCCUAUUGUUUGGGCAUAUGUUGUGGUAGUGGUUGGGAAUUAUUGAGUGUAGGCGGUUAGUUCAAAGGUUUCUUCUCGGAGUAGUUUUAGCACAGUUGAAAUUUUGGUUAUCCAUGGAUGAGGCAUGCAACGGUGUCAUGGCGAGGAGUAAACGUUUGAAACCCUUUCUAUUUUCUCUCAUACUUCGUCGUAUCUACUUUUAUUAAUGUUAAAUGAAAUUAGCGUUUUGGAUGUUGGGGUUCUUUAAACUACGUAGAAUCAUUUACUUUAUUAAAUCUAAAAGGAUUAAUCCCACUUAGACCCCUUUAUUUAUUUAAAAUUUUAAAUAACCUAGAAAAAUUCGAAAAGAACUCCGUUAUUUGGUAAACAAGAAAGAACUCUUUUUACUCUAUGUAGAAUAUAUAAAACUUUUCAACCUUUGUAAAUAAAGACUUUUACGGGAAGAGGCUGUCACGCAUUAUAAACUUGUACACUUCAAGUCCCAACCCUAACCCCAAACCCCACAACCUGUUGCCGUGCCGUCACCCUCAACCACUCACCCCGCGUCGCUCAAUUCAAUGGACCUGGCUUCUUUGCCCUUCUACUUUUCAUACACUUCCAUCUUUUCUUAUUUGUGAAAUCACGAUUAAGCCACGUCAACAUUUUAUAUUACUAUUAUUUUUUAUCUUAUUAUUUUUAUAAAAAAAUUAAUAUAAAAUAUUGACGUGACUUAACCGUGACUGUAUAAAAUAUGAGGGGAUGAGAAUGUACGAGAAAUGGGAGAGCAGAGAAGCCGGGUCCUAAUUCAAUUUUUGUCUAAUAAUUUUUUUUUUUUUUUUUGGGAUCCUCCAGUAUUUGAAUCAUGGAUUUGCCAUUGUAUACUACAAUUGGAAUAAAAUAAUAACUUUACGUGAAAUUAUACCCUUUUUAUCUAACAACUAAUUAAGAUGCACGUGACCGGUUUUUAUGGUAAAUAUCAAACAACAUGUGGUUUGUUUAAUACAAGUGAGACUGAAAACUAGUGAAUGACAUGCAUUAAACAAAUAAUUAGCUCAUUUAACUGGCCCAUGAGGUCCAUGAGACAUGCACCUUCCACAUGCCACAGCACAAUAAAUACCCCUCAAGGGAAGCUUUGAUAUGAGUAAUCCCAUCUCUUUUGUGAUCUGGGACGUGUGAAAUGUGUGAAAUGUGUGGCUGCAUAUGAAUAUUGCCACUGUGCCCACGAACUGCAAAAGAAACAUGCUGUCUUUAACCCUAUUCACUUCAUGUGCCAUUUUUGUUUUAUGUCGUAGAAGGCUGCACAGUCCCACUUAAAUAUGGAGAUCUUUCCUGUAUUCAUGCAUGAUAAUUUUUUAUACGACCUGUUAACUUGAUACGAAACGAUAUCAAAAUUACAGAUUUUGAAUUGACAAGUUAAUGAAUCAAGUCGUUAUCAAAUAAUCCGAUAAACACUUGUUAAGAUAACGGGAUGGUCCAUGUACACACGUGGGUAACUAGUUGCACGAUAAGAAAAAUAUUAAUUUAAUAAUUUUAAACUACUAAAAAAAACAUACUAUAAAAUAUAAUGGUUAUUUUGGUUCCGGUCCCUAGCCAAUCUAAUUGUUAGAAUGAAUAUUGUUUGUUUAAAUAGUUUGAUUGAUACCACUUAGUACUACGGUUUAGUGAUAUCCCUAUUCACUUGUAAGUGAGAGAUCUUAUAUUCGAUUCUCGCCAAAGGCGAAUUUGAAUCAUAUUGAUGCACAAAAUCAGUGAGGACUUUGGUACAACAGAAAGUGUCAAGUUUGUGACCUUCGCUAGAUUGCUCCGGUCACUAGUGUGGAUAAGUAUGUAAAUGGAUAGAGACAGGGAAGCAAACACAAGAUGUACGUGGUUCACCCAGAUUGGCUACGUCCACGGAGUAGAGGAGUUCUCAUUAAUUGUGAAGGGCUUACACAAGUACAUAGGUUCAAGCUCUCCUUUAGUGAGUACUAGUGAAUAAUUUAGUACAAAUGACAUUCGGGAUUAUUGUGGGAGUCCUUUUAUAGAAGAGAGUUUCUAGCUUUGUUCUGGCAUUGACACGUGUCAUGCUGUGAUUGGCCUUUGAUAUUGACACGUGUCGCCCUGUGAUUGGCCUCUUGGUGUUGACACGUGUUGCGCUGUGAUUGGCCUCUUGGUUGGAGGGAAACUCUUCUGGGUCCUUGACGGUAUAACAUUGACCGGUGCUUGGUAGUUUCGGGAUUGGUCAAGUAUGGUACAAACAAAUCACAUUAUUGCAAAUUGUGAGACUUAGGCCAUCCCUUCCCUUUAGUUUAGAUAAUAUUGUUUGAACAAAAAUUUGAUUGAGUUCCCUAUCAUCAUUUAAGGGAUUUAACUCCUAUAUUCAUGCAUGUAAUAUUCCAUCAAGUAAUUUAAACAAAUUCAAAUAAUAAUUUUACAAUAUAACAAUUACUUACAAAUCAAUAAUAGAUCUUCAUAUAGAUCUACCCAUGGGCGGAUCUAUUAAGGAACCAAGGUGGUCCUAGGACCACCCGAAAGUCCGAAUAGUUGGUUGUGAAGACCACUGAGGACCACCUAAAUUUGGGCAUUUGGUGGUAGCGGCAUUGGGGAAAGAAAACCAGAAAGGGCAGCCUGAGGAGGAAGAAGAAGAAAAAUAGCUUUUUUCAACUUUUACGCUCGACAAUACGGCGUCGCUUCAUCCCAUCAUUUAAUAACUAUUUGCUUUAUGGCCGUUUGUUUUUAGGCCAAGGCGUUUUCUAGUUUUAGAAAACUAAGCCACGUCACUUUAUUUUACGUCUUUGCUUUUUUUUUUUUGGUUGAAAUUAUAUCCUUUUGUUCUCUACCGCUUCCUCAUUCUUCCUGUCUUUUUUGAUCUAUUUUUUAAUUGCUAUCAAUUUCAUCUUGUUUGUGUGUAUGUUCUUCUCUUUGUUUUAUUCAUUUUUUUAUUAUUUUCAUUUGUUUGCAUCGUUUUCUAAUUACAGAAGACAAUUUUUAUGCUUAUUUUAAAAUAAAAGAAGAAAGAAAGUUUGAAUCCGAGACGUUGUGGGUGAAUUGGAAAACUCUAACCAUCAGGAUAAUACAUCACUUGUGUUGUUUACUUUGUUUUAAACUAGUUAUAAAAACUGAAAAUAAAAACAUUUAGGUAUAAAAUGCUGGAAAUGAUCCUAAGCUGUAGUAUGUAGCAUGUAAAUGAAAAGUUAGUAGUUCAUCAUUUAAUUUUUCAAGGUUUUUCGUCUAAUUUUUUUUAGAACUUCUAAAUUGGGACCACCCAAUGUUAAAAUUGGAUCCGCAACCACACAUAAUUAUUAAUAUAUUUUAAGAAAUAACUAUUGAUAUAUUUUAAAACAUAAAACAAAUAAAUAUAAUUAGCAUGGGUACAUUCAACAAAAAAUAUAUGGAUACAUAUUAAAUUAAAAAAUAUGGGUACAUUAAUAAAAUUUAAAAGGAGCUUUUAGAUCUAGGUCAAAAAAUAUAGAUGGUUUUUAGAAGUGAGUCAAGUUAUCUAAUUACAUGUUUUUAUUUCUUUUAUACUCAUUUUAUAUUUUUUUUAAAAUACUAAAAAUUAAUUAAAAUCUUCUAAUGUUAUGCAUUUUUCAACUACAAAAAAUCUAAUUGAUAUCUUAUAACAAAAAAAAAAAAAAAACUAAUAUACUAACAUAAAUUAUCUACAAAACAUUCUACCUUAACUCAAGUAACAAAUAUAUGAAUGUAUAUUAUACCUAAGCGAGAUAUGAAACCUAAUUAAAAGGUAGGAAAAAAACAUAAUAUACCUACAAGCAAGACAUAUUAAUAUGUGAUACAUUGUUUAUAAAAAAGAAUUUGUUAUAUAGAUACAUAAAAAUAAUUAACAUGUGAUAUAGGUUGAUUAUAAAAAUUAAAAAUAAAAUCUAUAAAUGAGGUUUAAAGCAGGAGGAAGAACAAGAAAUAUCAAAAUAAUAAUAAUAAUAAAAAAAUAAAAAGAAAAAACAAAGAGAUAAUUAGGAAGAAAUUUGAUUUUUAUGAUAAAUCUUACCAUUGAAUAGAUAAUUAUUGAUAAUUAAAUAAUUAAAUAUAAGGAAUUGGGCUUAUUUUAAUAAAUUAGACUAUUCCUACUAUUUGCUAAAAAAAUUUAACUUAUAUCAAGUUUUCCCAAUUUAAAAUUAUGGGGGCAAUUUAAAAACUAAAUUUUUUUUUGAUACAAAUUAAAAAAAUGGGUACAAAUUAAAGAUAGAAAUAUGUUAAAAAUAAUAAAAAGAUAUAUUCGGAAAUGCAUUUUUAAAAUUAACAUAUAAUGUCAUGUAAAUAAUUUAAUAUUCAAAUAAUCACAUGUACAAAAGUCAAAGACCUUGAUCAAGGAUAUAAAGGUAACAAAGUUUCAAUUAAUGGAAAAGAAAAUUAGAUGAGAACCAGCCACUGCAUGUAAACGGACUGAUCCUCUUUAUAGGGAUUCUCAUCGUAUAUUGUACGGUUAGAAAUUAUUUGAAUUUUAAAAUUUAAAAUUUAAAAUUGAAUAUAAAUAGUACUUAACAAUAACUGACAACACGAUAUAAAAAUGAACAAAUAUAAUUGAUUGACCUUUCAAAUUUUCAUAAAGAGGAUCGGAAGCGGUUCAUCUUCCAACAACAACAAAGCCUUUUCCCACUAAGUGGGGUCGGCUAUAUGAAUCCUAGAACGCCAUUGCGCUCGG